GACGAACGCUGGCGGCGUGCUUAACACAUGCAAGUCGAACGGAAAGAGAUGAAAGAGCUUGCUCUUUUAUUAAUUUCAGUGGCAAACGGGUGAGUAACACGUAAACAACCUGCCUUAAGGAUGGGGAUAACAGACGGAAACGACUGCUAAUACCGAAUACGUUCUAAGCAUCGCAUGAUGCAUAGAAGAAAGGGUGGCCUCUACAAGAAAGCUAUCGCCUUAAGAGGGGUUUGCGACUGAUUAGGUAGUUGGUGAGGUAACGGCUCACCAAGCCGACGAUCAGUAGCCGGUCUGAGAGGAUGAACGGCCACACUGGAACUGAGACACGGUCCAGACUCCUACGGGAGGCAGCAGUGGGGAAUCUUCCGCAAUGGACGAAAGUCUGACGGAGCAACGCCGCGUGAACGAAGAAGGUCUUCGGAUUGUAAAGUUCUGUGAUUCGGGACGAAAGGGUUUGUGGUGAAUAAUCAUAGACAUUGACGGUACCGAAAAAGCAAGCCACGGCUAACUACGUGCCAGCAGCCGCGGUAAUACGUAGGUGGCAAGCGUUGUCCGGAAUUAUUGGGCGUAAAGCGCGCGCAGGCGGUUUCUUAAGUCCAUCUUAAAAGCGUGGGGCUCAACCCCAUGAGGGGAUGGAAACUGGGGAAGCUGGAGUAUCGGAGAGGAAAAGUGGAAUUCCUAGUGUAGCGGUGAAAUGCGUAGAGAUUAGGAAGAACACCGGGUGGCGAAGGCGAUUUUCUAACUAAACUGACGCUGAGGGGCGAAAGCGUGGGGAGCAAAAAGAAUAUAUACCCGGUAGUCGCAGGGGGAUUUCUACGAUGGAUAUAAGCAUAUCC
rnacentral:rRNA from 1 species